rnacentral:rRNA from 1 species
UACGUAGGGUGCAAGCGUUAAUCGGAAUUACUGGGCGUAAAGCGUGCGCAGGCGGUUUGUUAAGACAGUCGUGAAAUCCCCGGGCUUAACCUGGGAACUGCGAUUGUGACUGGCAAGCUAGAGUACGGCAGAGGGGGGUGGAAUUCCUGGUGUAGCAGCGAAAUGCGUAGAGAUCAGGAGGAACACCGAUGGCGAAGGCAGCCCCCUGGGCUAGUACUGACGCUCAUGCACGAAAGCGUGGGGAGCAAACAGGAUUAGAUACCCUGGUAGUCCACGCCCUAAACGAUGUCAAUUAGUUGUUGGUCCUUCAUUGGAUUAGUAACGAAGCUAACGCGUGAAAUUGACCGCCUGGGGAGUACGGUCGCAAGAUUAAA